GCCGGGGUGUGGCUGCUGCCUCGUGCUAGCAACUACUAGGAGCCACAAGUGAGAGCUGGGUGUCAGGUGGGGGUCAGAAGCUGGAGAGCUGCCCUAGAAGGGCAUGACAAGCCCUCCAUACCAGAGAUACUACCCCUCCCUAACCACCCCAUACACCCAAUUACACCUUGCUUAACCACACCCCCACGGGACAUGAAAGUUUGACUAAAUCAUAAUUAUUUUCAAGGGUUGGUAAAUUUUGUGCCAGCCACUGCGGACAAAAGAUUAACCCAAAUUAACAAAUCUUUGGCAUAAAGCAUGUUUAAGCAAAAAUAUUAAAUAAAGUUAAUACUUAACUAAACUGUAAUACACUCUAGUUAAUACUAAAAUAAAUUGUUAAAAUAACUUUAACAAAGCUGACAUAUGACAACUAAGAUACAAACUGGGAUUAGAUACCCCAUUUUGCUUAGUCGUAAACUAAAACAGUUAAAUAACAAAACUAUUCACCAGAGAACUACUAGCCAUUGCUUAAAAUUCAAAGGAUUUGGCGGUGCCCUAAAUCCACCUAGAGGAGCCUGUUCUAUAAUGAUAAACCCUGAUAUACCCAACCCUGUCUUUCCAAUACAACCUAUAUAUUGCCAUCGUCAGCGCACCUUAAAAAAGACAAAAAGUAAGCAAAACUACUUUCCAUAAAAACGUUAGGUCAAGGUGUAGCACAUGAAAGGGAAAGAAAUGGGCUACAUUCUCUAAUUUAGAGAAUAAUGAAUCACAUUAUGAAAUUAAAGUGCUUGAAGGAGGAUUUUGUAGUAAAUUAAGAAUAGAGUGCUUAAUUGAAUUAGGCAAUAGGGUGAGCACACACCACCUGUCACCCUCCUCAACUCAAUUUAUUAAUAUACCUAAUAAUUCAUUUAAACCAAGAGGAGAAAAAUCAUAACAUGGUAAGUAUACUGGAAAGUGCACUUGGAAUAUCAAAAUG
rnacentral:ncRNA from 1 species